CUUCUUCCUCUUCCUCUUCCUCUUCCUCUUCCUCUUCCUCUUCCUCUUCCUCUUCCUCUCCUCCUCCUCCUUCACCUGAGGAUACAACUCUUCCACAUGGAACCUGGGCAUCUUUCCAGAUGGCAUUCCCCAUGAGGCCAGCUCUCUAAGCCUCUGGCAGUU
rnacentral:miRNA from 1 species